rnacentral:tRNA from 1 species
GGGCGCGUGGCGGAACUGGCAGACGCGCUAGGUUCAGGACCUAGUGGGUUCACCCCCGUGGAGGUUCGAUUCCUCUCGCGCCCA